rnacentral:rRNA from 1 species
AGGGAAUCUUCCACAAUGGACGCAAGUCUGAUGGAGCAACGCCGCGUGAGUGAAGAAGGUUUUCGGACCGUAAAGCUCUGUUGUUGGUGAAGAAGGAUAGAGGUAGUAACUGGCCUUUAUUUGACGGUAAUCAACCAGAAAGUCACGGCUAACUACGUGCCAGCAGCCGCGGUAAUACGUAGGUGGCAAGCGUUGUCCGGAUUUAUUGGGCGUAAAGCGAGCGCAGGCGGAAGAAUAAGUCUGAUGUGAAAGCCCUCGGCUUAACCGAGGAAUUGCAUCGGAAACUGUUUUUCUUGAGUGCAGAAGAGGAGAGUAGAACUCCAUGUGUAGCGGUGGAAUGCGUAGAUAUAUGGAAGAAUACCAGUGGCGAAGGCGGCUCUCUGGUCUGCAACUGACGCUGAGGCUCGAAAGCAUGGGUAGCGAACAGGAUUAGAUACCCUUGGUAGUCCAUGCCGUAAACGAUGAGUGCUAAGUGUUGGGAGGCUUCCGCCUCUCAGUGCUGCAGCUAACGCAUUAAGCACUCCGCCUGGGGGAGUACGACCGCAAGGU